AAACCAUGAUGAGGACAUUGGGGUAAGAGAUCAUUGAACCUUUCCAAAUACCUAUACAAGGAUUCUCCCUCCUGUUGAGAAAAUGUGCAGAUUUGCAUCCUAAUACA